ACGGGAGGCAGCAGUGAGGAAUAUUGGUCAAUGGAGGCAACUCUGAACCAGCCAUCUCGCGUGAAGGAAUACGGCCCUACGGGUCUUAAACUUCUUUUAUAGGGGGAUAAAGUGAGAUACGCGUAUCUUUUUGUAGGUACCCUAUGAAUAAGCAUCGGCUAACUCCGUGCCAGCAGCCGCGGUAAUACGGAGGAUGCGGGCGUUAUCCGGAUUUAUUGGGUUUAAAGGGUGCGUAGGCGGAUGAGUAAGUCAGUGGUGAAAUAUCCUAGCUCAACUAGGAGGCUGCCAUUGAUACUGCUUAUCUAGAGUGCGAACGGCGCCGGCGGAAUGUGUCAUGUAGCGGUGAAAUGCUUAGAGAUGACACAGAACACCGAUCGCGAAGGCAGCUGGCGAGCACGACACUGACGCUGAGGCACGAAGGUGCGGGGAUCAAACAGGAUUAGAUACCCUGGUA
rnacentral:rRNA from 1 species